rnacentral:rRNA from 1 species
GGAAAGUCCGGCCAUAGCGGGUGAUAGCCCCGUACGCGAAAGACCGCCAGUGGAACUAGGGUUGCGACAAGUAGGGCGGGACACGUGAAAUCCUGUCUGAAGAUGGGGGGACCAUCCUCCAAGGCUAAAUACUCGUAAUCGACCGAUAGCGAACCAGUACCGUGAGGGAAAGGCGAAAAGAACCCCGGG